UAAAUUUUUUUUAUUAUCCUAUAAUUUAUAUUUGGUGGUGGCACAGAAUCGGAGGCCCCGACUGUUUACUAAAAACACAAUUCAGAGCAAUGAUUAAGAUCAUAGUAUUCUGAAUGAAAUUUGCUCAAUGCCAUUAAUAUAAGAGAGGUAAUGGGAAACUGUUACUAAUCGAAAGUCUGGUCAAUAGCGGUCUUAACUAUGAGGAUCCAAAGGUAGCAUAAUCAAUUGGCCAUUAAAUGUGGUCUGGUAUCAAUAGUGUAACGAUGGUCUCACUGUCUCUACAACUUGCUCAGUGAAAUUGAAUUACCCGUGCAGAUGCGGGUUGCCUCCAGGUGGACGGGAAGACCCUAUGCAGCUUCUACU
rnacentral:rRNA from 1 species